rnacentral:tRNA from 2 species
GGCGACGUGGCGGAAUGGUUACGCAGCGGAUUGCAAAUCCGUCUAUACCGGUUCGAUUCCGGUCGUCGCCUCCA